rnacentral:rRNA from 1 species
CGAGCGAGGCGGUUUUGUAAGUCUGCUGUGAAAGCCCUCAGCUCAACUGAGGAAGUGCAGUGGAAACUACAAAACUUGAGUACAGAAGAGGAAAGUGGAACUCCAUGUGUACGGUGAAAUGCGUAGAUAUAUGGAAGAACACCAGUGGCGAAGGCAGGUCUUUCUGGUCUGUUACUGACGCUGAGGCUCGAAAGCAUGGGUAGCGAACAGGAUUAGAUACCCUGGUAGUCCAUGCCGUAAACGAUGAAUACUAGGUGUUGGAGGGUUU